AUGGAAACAGAUGGCUGCAACAGGAGACAGCCACAAAAGCCUGAAUCAGUGCAGAGAAAAGCCCCGUUCGCGGCACCCCAAGAGGCUGUCUACACUUCAGCCCAUCUGGUGACACGGGAGGGGCAGCCGCCGGCAGGCAGCACUGCCCUCCCUUCCCUGCGCCGGUUUUGCAACCUCCGGGAACAGACCCGAGCACAUCACGCCCCAUGGCUUGGGGUCAGCUCAGCCUGGAUGCCCACGGGCUGCACCACCGGCCCUGCCGCACUGCUCCUGGGUCAGCUGGCACGCAGGCAGCACAGAGGGACAACGGUCAGCUCAGACACUUGUAGAGAUGGUUUGAGACCUGCAUGUCUUUCCUUCAAAACUCAAGCAAGAUAAGUGCCUGCAAGCGACUAACGUGUCUAAACAUGCUCGAUACGUCUAAAGCAGAGCUUAGGGUCUGGCCAGGUGUYGGCAGGGACUUGCCCGGAGCCGGACUACCUUCCCCUGCCCUGCGGCACCCAGCUCUUGCCCCCGCUCUUCGUGCUCCUCCCUGCCUGCGUGGGGGCAGAGAGGGACCCCGUCUCCCCGCCGCGCAGGGGGUUUCUCCCAGGCGAGCAGGGGCCACGGCAGUUUGCCGCUGCCCUGCAGGGAGUCUGCCAGAAGCACCUUUUUUCCRCACCGUGCAGGAUGUCUCUAGCUUGCGCACCGUCUGCCCGUGACUCAACUAGGUCAACAGAAGGCUGCCGUGGUGGAAGUGGUGGUUUCUUUUGUGUUACAUGUGAUGAGGUCCAGUCAAUUAUUUGGGACAUUUUCCAGCCCCGCUCUGAAGAUGGGAGUGACUGAAGAUCUGUCUGCACCUYGGUCUAUUCCUGUGCAAACCCCAGGGCUGCACUCCCCAGCAUCCGCCCGAGCCCUGCCGGGCUGCGAUCAGGAGCAAGCCAGCGGCUUUCCAGGCUGGGCUGCUUAGCAGGGAGCUAGGGCAGAGCCUCCCUUUCCAGCCAGUGUGGGCACACUGGGGGAAUCAGGCUGCCACCUCGAAGCUGAUGGCCCAUCCUGCUGGAUGCAGAGGUUCCUGUAAGAGACCCAGCCUGGAAGUAUCAAAGCCACCAUCAAAUCGCAAAUGGUCCACACAGCACUUUGCUUUUCAGGCCCGUUUUCCCAUCUGGAGGGCCAAGUCUCUCUCCCAAUCAUUUUUCACUGAUUUCUCUGUGGUUGUGUUCUUCCUGGCAGGCUGAGCACCAUAAUAAUUGUGAUUAUGGAUUAAUAAUAUUUAUGGUUGUGAAUCACCACUGGUGCCAUUAUUGCCUACCAAAGCAGUGUAGAUCUGGUUGGAGAUAUUGGUUAGCACUGGAAAAGUGCCUGUGACUUUCCCAGGCCCCAUGCUCAUCUCCCUGUU
rnacentral:lncRNA from 1 species